CCUACGGGUGGCAGCAGUGGGGAAUAUUGCACAAUGGGGGAAACCCUGAUGCAGCGACGCCGCGUGAGUGAAGAAGUAAUUCGUUACGUAAAGCUCUAUCAGCAGGGAAGAAAAUGACGGUACCUGAGUAAGAAGCCCCGGCUAACUACGUGCCAGCAGCCGCGGUAAUACGUAGGGGGCAAGCGUUAUCCGGAUUUACUGGGGGAAAAGGGAGCGUAGACGGUGAUGCAAGUCAGAAGUGAAAGCCCGUGGCUCAACCCCGGGACUGCUUGUGAAACUGUGUGCCUGGAGUGCAGGAGAGAUAAGCGGAAUUCCUGGUGUAGCGGUGAAAUGCGUAGAUAUCAGGAGGAACACCAGUGGCGAAGGCGGCUUACUGGACUGUAACUGACGUUGAGGCUCGAAAGCGUGGGGAGCAAACAGGAUUAGAUACCCCAGUAGUC
rnacentral:rRNA from 1 species